GAACCCCCCCACCUGUCCUCACCUCACAAUGGUAGCUGCAGAGCGGGAGGGGGGUGGCCGCCCGAGCCUCAUUACCAUAAUCUGCCUGGCAACAAGCCGCGGCGUCUCGCGCUGAUUGGCUGAAACUCCUCCGCCAGCCACGAUGGGGCACAGAAUUCCCCAAGGAAAGCCUUCCGAGUUGACAAAGAAUUGGCAAAUAGGCCUGUCACCCAGCUGUAUUUUCAAUGGCUUCUCUACCACAACUGUGGGGCUCAGCUUAUUUAAGUUGAAUGGUUUGGUUGCCUUGGUUAAUGAACGACUGAUUCUGCCAUCUUCAGAGGUUAAACAUCGCUUCAGUCUUCACAGGUGGACUAGAAAAGAUCAAGGAGACAGGAUGCCAUUUCAGAAAGAUAUGUCUCACAAGCAAGAGGAUGAGAGUUCACUAAAUACCUUCUGCAAAGCAGCCUCUCUUUCCUCUCUCCCCACUGCGUCUUCACUGUGACUUUACUUGUAGACCUCUAGACCCUCCAUCUUUUGAGUACUCUGUGUCAGGUUCAAUGUUUGUGUUCAGAUACUUGGAGAAGCAUCAGGCAUUGCUCUGCCUUGAGAUCCUACCAGUGCUCAAAGCCUCAGAUCCAUCUGGAGAAAGAAAAUGAGCAGCGUAAAUUCCCAGUUCAUGUAUUAGCGAAAAGGGUGGUUCGUCUCUGCUAUUUCUGCAUUUGGGAUCCUCAGUCUGAGUGUGGGCUCAUUACUCUAUUGAAUUAUAUAUCAGAAGUAAUUUCUUUUCCUGGGAAGUGAAUCCUACAUACGUGCAAAUCUAUUCCAAAACGGAUUCUUUGUGUCUCUCAGAUGUUGCUUUUGCCUUGGAUAGUCUUCAGAAAAAAAACAACUGUCCGAUUAAGUUCACCAUUGGCUUUGCGUCCCAUCUAGAAAUGAGACAAGAUCAUAGACUUAGCACAUUUUCUGGAUGCUGAGAUUCAUAUGCAGUGUGUUGAAGGAGCAGCAGCUUUCCUUAGCAGCCACUCUCUUGUGCUGCCCUUAAGCAUCCUGUAAUGAUGCAGUUUUCAUUUUCCAAUGCAAUUGAACUGUGCUGGUGCUUCAGCAAAACCAUAAAAUCUUCAAACCUAACAGAAUGGUUAUUUUGAAGUUUUCAGUUAUAGGAGUAUUAAUGCCAGGCUUGUUUCCUUAACAGUCUGUUACAUGCUGUAGGCAAGGAUUGUGCUGUUUGAGGUGAACACAGCACAAACUGCUGUGCAGAUCUGCCCACUUCAGACAUCUCAGUGGAAGCCAGAUGAAUGACACUGUUUCAGGCAUGGACCAGAGCAGUGGGAAAAUGGCCAUCAAGAGUUAAGAGUUUAUUAGCAUAAUGAAGGGUAGAUUUUCUCCCUUCCCUGCCAAUCUCUCAAAGAGGAUUCUCUGAGCAGAAACAAAGGCUUGCUGUCCACCACCAUUUACUGUGUCACUUAUUUUCACAGAUUUCUGUGCUGUUUUUUCAUGUCUGCAGUUAUUCCAUUUAUCCCUGUUUUUAUGGUAUGACCUCAGUUGCAAUGCAUCUGUUCUUAGUUAUUCUCCAUCCUUUCACUCUUCUAAACUUCUCUGUAUUCCCCUAGAAAUAACCUUUUGUUUUUAAGCUCCUGUCUGCUUCUCAAGGUUUCUGCAUUUUUUUUUACUGUCUUUCUAUGGAGCAGCUUUGUUCUCACUGUAUAUCUUAAGCCUAGUUUCUUCAGCAGUUCCCUUCAGUCACUGCUGCUGGACUUCCUACAUCUUGUCCCCAGUGUGUCAUUUUGAGUCACAGAUAGAAGGCUGAGCUGCAAGGCUGCAGGAACCCUGGACUUCCACAAAGAAGUGCUGUAGCCAAAUACAGAUAUCCAAUUCCAGACCAGGUUGGCAACCUUGUGAUGUUAUUUAUGAGUCUGGAGAAAUAUUAUGUCCCACAGGAUUUAAAUAGCUGGAUGUUGGAUCAAGUUUGAGUUGGCUAAUAACAAUUUUGCAUCGCUUUCUGCCCCUUACACAGCCUUGAUGAUAGGUAGAGGUCUUGUCUGAAGGGCAGAAUGGCUCCAGAUGAGUUGGGGCAGUUAGAUAGGCAUCAUUUGUGCACUAUAUUUUUCCUAGAAGCACUGCUUAGUAUUUCUUAUAUUGCUGAAUUUUGUUUAGUAUAAUUAUGAUACUUCAAUAAUAAGCAAUAGGGAGUUCUUUACUUAAUCCUACCACAUUCUUUAGUUGUUUCUAACUUCAGUUUGCAUCCUACCUCCUAAAACCCAGAUUGACUCAAUUCUACCUCAGCAAGCUCUACCUUGCACAUACCUGUCACGCAGAACUAGUACAAAUGACAUGAUCCCCCAUUUAAAUCUUCAAUCAAGUUUAGCUGUAUAGGAUUAAAAUUCACUGGCUAGACUAAUUUUACACUUUAAUUUCAGGAAUUUAAGAGAAUGCUGGGAAUCUUCAAAGAUUUCUUAAUUUCUCCUGAACUCAUUCUCUGGGUACUGAAAGAAUCUCAAUGCAUCAGUUUGCUAAAGUUGCUGCUUUAAUGAGAGACUUUAAUGGUACCAGGUGCAUUCCUUGAUGACUUCUGUUUGCUCUUUUUGUCAUGAAUUUAACAUUACUCUUUCAGUGCACAUUUUUGCAAUCAUAAAAAUGAGCUUUAUGUUUACACAAUGACAGUCUUGCAAGUGAAAAGGAACAUAGAUGUUCACUUGAAACAUUUCUUACAGAAUAAACAUUGGCAACCAAAAGUGAGGAUGAGAUUCUCAGUGCUUCAUUAGCACAGAUGUCCUGGAAAAGGGCACUAAAGAGCUCCAGAACUUGGGUAAGAUGGGAUUCUUGGAAGUAAAUGUAAGCUGUUGCCUACCUAACAGGUUUAACAGCAGGAGAGGUGUCUUAGGGAAUGCUGCAGCCUUGCAGCAUUGAUUCAAAUUGGUGCUGUUGUCACAGGCAACAGACAAGUACCAGUGCUCACCCGAAACAGACCUGUGCACUGAAUUAAUCGUGGCCAUUGUGUCACCAUGCUUGCAGUGACCUGUGUGGACAGGUGGCUGAAAAAAAUUAAUCCUGAAAGCCUUUGGGUUGUUUCCAUUAGAUGGAAUUCCAUUUACAUCUUGCUGCAGGCUCUUAUCUCAAUUUCUGUCCCUGCCAUCCUGCAGUCAUAUGAAUUUAGUUGCAUGUAGAGCUCCUGAUCAUCACCAAGGAAUGACCAAGGUCUGGGAGAUAAAACCUUUUUUUCUGGGGACUUGUUGUCCUAGUAGGACUGAUCUCUGUAUGAAGGGAAAUGUGUAAUUCUUCAGACUUUGAUUUAUCACUCGCUUUUUAGGUAGUGAACUGAGCACUGAUGGCCUUGCUUGAAGAGAAAUAUCCUGUGUUGCAGCCUCGCUGCAGGACCUCAGUUCUUACACCCUGGUGUUUCUACAGGGCAGGACUAAGAGCAGGUGAGAAUGCAGCUAAGGUUGUACCUCAUACCUAUCAGAGAGACUUCCCCAAGAGUCACCAGAUUUAAAGUUUUUCAGAAAAACAAGGAUCACACUGUUGGAGUCAGUGCUGUGAACAUAAAUUCUCACCAAGCACUGUGUAAAUAUUAAAAGUAAAUUAAUUUAUGUAGCACUUUAAAUACUAUAUAAAUUCAACCUCAAGUCAAAGUCCCAUCCCAAAGAUUUAUAAAGAACUUGUACAUUUUGGACUGGGGAAGAAAAAGAAAUCCCUCCUUUUUAAGUAAAGGGAAAAGCCUAACUCAGAAUGUCUUGUUAUUUACUCCUGUAUUCAUAUUGCACAGUAAAACACAUUAAAAUGUGUCAGUUUUCAAAAGCAA